AGGUUUGAACUUGGAACUGGACCAGAAACCGAGCCCAACUGUGUCAUGAAAAGCAACACAUCAGAGAUCCAUGAGAGCCUCAAACCUCAAGCUGAACCUAGCUGUGUGUCCUUUAAAAGUGACUGGUCCAAAGAUCUUCCUCUUAAAUUCCAGCCAUCCAGACCUUCAGAAAUAGAGAGAUUGGACUACCAGAGCUCAGAGGUUCCCAUUAGACACUCCACCCAGCAGCAUCAAACACAGCUAGAAUCCAUAUUUAUGCUGCUGGAAGACAACAUUGUCACUUUUGUGAAGAAGGAG